UACGAAGGGUGCAAGCGUUACUCGGAAUUACUGGGCGUAAAGCGUGCGUAGGUGGUUCGUUAAGUCUGUCGUGAAAGCCCCGGGCUCAACCUGGGAAUGGCGAUGGAUACUGGCGGGCUGGAGUGCGGUAGAGGAGAGUGGAAUUCCCGGUGUAGCAGUGAAAUGCGUAGAGAUCGGGAGGAACAUCAGUUGCGAAGGCGGCUCUCUGGACCAGCACUGACACUGAGGCACGAAAGCGUGGGGAGCAAACAGG
rnacentral:rRNA from 1 species